rnacentral:rRNA from 1 species
AGAGUUUGAUCCUGGCUCAGGAUGAACGCUAGCGGCAGGCCUAACACAUGCAAGUCGAGGGGUAUUACACUUUCGGGUGUAAGAGACCGGCGCACGGGUGCGUAACGCGUAUGCAAUCUGCCUUUUACAGGAGUAUAGCCCUGAGAAAUCCGGAUUAAUCCUCCAUAGUAUUAUGAAAUGGCCUCAUUUUAUAAUUAAAGCUUCGGCGGUAAAAGAUGAGCAUGCGUCCUAUUAGUUAGUUGGUAGGGUAACGGCUUACCAAGACAUCGAUAGGUAGGGGUCCUGAGAGGGAGAUCCCCCACACUGGUACUGAGACACGGACCAGACUCCUACGGGAGGCAGCAGUGAGGAAUAUUGGACAAUGGGCGAGAGCCUGAUCCAGCCAUGCCGCGUGCAGGAAGACAGCCCUACGGGUUGUAAACUGCUUUUACAGAGGAAGAAUAAGGGGUACGUGUACCUCGAUGACGGUACUCUGUGAAUAAGCAUCGGCUAACUCCGUGCCAGCAGCCGCGGUAAUACGGAGGAUGCAAGCGUUAUCCGGAAUCAUUGGGUUUAAAGGGUCCGUAGGCGGAUCGGUAAGUCAGUGGUGAAAGUCUGCAGCUCAACUGUAGAAUUGCCAUUGAUACUGCUGGUCUUGAAUAACUAUGAAGUAAUUAGAAUGUGUAGUGUAGCGGUGAAAUGCAUAGAUAUUACACAGAAUACCGAUUGCGAAGGCAGGUUACUAGUAGUGAAUUGACGCUGAUGGACGAAAGCGUGGGGAGCGAACAGGAUUAGAUACCCUGGUAGUCCACGCCGUAAACGAUGGAUACUAGCUGUUCGUGCCACAUUGGUGGUAUGAGUGGCCAAGCGAAAGUGAUAAGUAUCCCACCUGGGGAGUACGUUCGCAAGAAUGAAACUCAAAGGAAUUGACGGGGGCCCGCACAAGCGGUGGAGCAUGUGGUUUAAUUCGAUGAUACGCGAGGAACCUUACCAAGGCUUAAAUGCAGAUUGACAGGUCUGGAGACAGACCCUUCUUCGGACAAUUUGCAAGGUGCUGCAUGGUUGUCGUCAGCUCGUGCCGUGAGGUGUCAGGUUAAGUCCUAUAACGAGCGCAACCCCUGUUGUUAGUUACCAGCAAGAAAGAUGGGGACUCUAACAAGACUGCCGGUGCAAACCGUGAGGAAGGUGGGGAUGACGUCAAAUCAUCACGGCCCUUACGUCUUGGGCUACACACGUGCUACAAUGGCAGGAACAAUGAGCAGCCACCCCGCAAGGGGGAGCAAAUCUAUAAAGCCUGUCACAGUUCGGAUCGCAGUCUGCAACUCGACUGCGUGAAGCUGGAAUCGCUAGUAAUCGGAUAUCAGCCAUGAUCCGGUGAAUACGUUCCCGGGCCUUGUACACACCGCCCGUCAAGCCAUGGAAGCCGGGGGUACCUGAAGUCGGUCACCGCAAGGAGCUGCCUAGGGUAAAACUGGUAACUGGGGCUAAGUCGAAACAAGGUA